AUGUGGAAGUCGUGGUGCUCCGGAUCGGCAGGCGGAGUACGCGGAAGCUCCUCCUCCGACGGUUCUUGGCGCCGCCGCAGACGCUCUGCGGGCCCAUCAGUGUCCAUGGUGGCCGACUCCUCCAUCAAGGAGGAGAUCGUCAUCUCCCCCAGUGACGAGGAGGACCAGGCGUUGCCGCAGCAGGGGCCCCAACUCCUCAAGGAGGCUGCUCUGACGGACGAAGAUUUCGUCUGUCAGAUCGAGUUCAUGACGGAGCGGUCGCUCCAUGACAUGGGGCCGUCCCCGCCAUCGCCGGAGCGUGUGAAGGAGGACUCGGUCUCCCCGCUGCACCACCACGUCAAGACUGAGCCGGCAUCCACGCACCUGCCGAUGAAGGAGUAG
rnacentral:rRNA from 1 species